rfam:Gossypium raimondii Chr06_contig_34, whole genome shotgun sequence.
UGUUAAAAUAUUCAUCUAUUUCUAUUGUUAAAAACUGACGGGGUUGACAAAAUAACCAGACAGUUACUUGUGGUGUAUCACAUGUUCCUCAUUCUGAUGUACAGGGCUUAGAUUUUAAUAGUAGAAAUAGAUGAAAUUUUUAAUA